rnacentral:rRNA from 1 species
UGGGGGAUAUUGCACAAUGGGCGAAAGCCUGAUGCAGCGACGCCGCGUGGGGGAUGAAGGCUUUCGGGUUGUAAACCUCUUUCGCUAUCGAACAAGGCCCGCUUAGGGUGGGUUGAGGGUAGGUGGAGAAGAAGCGCCGGCUAACUACGUGCCAGCAGCCGCGGUAAUACGGAGGGCGCGAGCGUUGUCCGGAAUUAUUGGGCGUAAAGGGCUUGUAGGCGGCUUGUUGCGCCUGCUGUGAAAACGCGGGGCUUAACUUCGCGCGUGCAGUGGGUACGGGCAGGCUUGAGUGUGGUAGGGGUGACUGGAAUUCCAGGUGGAGCGGUGGAAUGCGCAGAUAUCUGGAGGAACACCGAUGGCGAAGGCAGGUCACUGGGCCAUUACUGACGCUGAGGAGCGAAAGCAUGGGUAGCGAACAGG